rnacentral:rRNA from 1 species
CCUACGGGAGGCAGCAGUGGGGGAUAUUGCACAAUGGGGGAAACCCUGAUGCAGCGACGCCGCGUGUGGGAUGACGGUCCUCUGGAUUGUAAACCACUGUCCCCAGGGACGAAGAUGACGGUACCUGGGGAGGAAGCUCCGGCUAACAACGUGCCAGCAGCCGCGGGAAUACGUAGGGAGCGAGCGUUGUCCGGAAUUACUGGGUGAAAGGGGAGCGUGGGCGGGACUGAAAGUUGGGUGUCAAAUCUACCGGCUCAACCGGUAGCCGCACUCGAAACUGCAGUUCUUGAGUGAAGUAGAGGCAGGCGGAAUUCCUAGUGUAGCGGUGAAAUGCGUAGAUAUUAGGAGGAACACCAGUGGCGAAGGCGGCCUGCUGGGCUUUUACUGACGCUGAGGCUCGAAAGUGUGGGGAGCAAACAGGAUUAGAUACCCUUGUAGUC